CACCCUGCAACUCAUUCCCAUCCGAGCACACAGUGACUUAAUGCUUGAACUUAACCCCUCUGUGGGAUUCAGCACGGCUGAUUGUUCAUAAAACAUCAUAAAGCCUAAAACUCAGCGGAGGCUUCCUUCCCCGGCAGCAUGACUCAGCGCCGGAGCCUCCGCAUCUCAUGCUUGUGCUUUGGCACACCCCGGCUUCAGGCACACCUCUUGCUGUGUGGCUUUUUCAGACUUCUGAGGAACAGGGGAAGGCACCCCAAAUGUGUGCAGACCAUGCAGAUGCCUGUCAAGGAGUGCGCCAGGUCUGUCUGCCAAGAUCAUGAACAUGAAAAAUUAAAAGAUUCAUCACUUCUGCUGUGAUUACCACUACAGGCUUUCCCAUUGAGAGGCCAGAGCAUUGGGUUGCCUCCUGAAAAAAGGAUUCAAACAAGAUGUGCAAGGAGGUGUGGCUGAAAAUGUACGGCACAAGGCUAAGUGCCCAUAUCCUGAUGUCAGAGGAUGACUCUGAAAUGCAGCACCUGGUUCCUGGAGUCUGUAGCAGGAGAGCAGCCAAGCAGCCAGCUGAAGUCUCCAGCAUCAGAGAGCUCCAAACCUCAGAAAACUGAAGUCAAAAUUACAUGAAUUCAAAAGGGAUUUGUAGUCCAC
rnacentral:lncRNA from 1 species